rnacentral:tRNA from 1 species
UUUAAUAUGGCAGAUAAAGUGCAAUAGAUUUAAAUCCUAUUUAUAAAGAAUCUUCUUUUAUUAAUA